rnacentral:rRNA from 1 species
UACGGAGGAUGCGAGCGUUAUCCGGAUUUAUUGGGUUUAAAGGGUGCGUAGGCGGGAUAUUAAGUCAGCGGUGAAAGUUUUCGGCUCAACCUUAAAAUUGCCGUUGAAACUGUUAUUCUUGAGUGCAGUAGAGGUAGGCGGAAUUCGUUGUGUAGCGGUGAAAUGCGUAGAUAUAACGAGGAACUCCGAUUGCGUAGGCAGCUUACUAUAUUGCUACUGACGCUGAGGCACGAAAGUGUGGGUAUCAAACAGGAUUAGAUACCCUGGUAGUCCACACAGUAAACGAUGAAUACUAGCUGUUUGCGAUAUAUUGUAAGCGGCCGAGCGAAAGCAUUAAGUAUUCCACCUGGGGAGUACGUCGGCAACGAUGAA